rnacentral:sRNA from 2 species
AAAUUUUACUUGCCGAAUCCACAGUAACGUGGAACGGGGGACAAUUUAUUUUUGGGGUGGAUCCGUGCAAGCGGAAAGAGACCUUCUCCUCUUAACCCGUCAACUAACCUCGUAGGCAUGAAGGGAGUAAAA